CCAAUAUUUAGCUAGUGUACUGUGGUAGCCCUGCAUAAGCCGUGGUGCAUAAGUAAGCUUUUAAGGAGUUUUGAAAAAUAUCUAAAAUGAAUACAAGUGUGUCCAUGAUCAAUUCCUUUUCUCAAAUUCAAUAUCCUUCUUCUUCACCAAUACCGAUGUACCUUUAUUCAGAAAAAUGAUUUAUAGAAGAUGUCAAAAGGAAAAAAAGAGAAAAUUAUACAAACCCGGUUUCAAGUUCGAAAGGAAGAGGGCCUUCAAAACCGGGAAGAAACUUGACGAUAGAGCCAGAUUCAGCAUGAUGUCUUAAAACAAGUAAAAGAAGAAGCAGCAACUUGGGUGAAAAAGUUCUCAUUUUCUCUGUUAAUUUCGAAAUCCAUUUUAUGGUAAAAAUGAUCUAAUAUAGUUAGUUACCAAAACAAUAGUGGGUAGGUUGCAUUUUUGAUUCAAUGAUCACUGGUCGCUCCACGUCGAGUAGAUUUUUUGUGUGUACCUCCAAACCUUACACGGGGUUGGUUUUGACAAUAACUAUUUUGGAAACAAAUUUGG